rnacentral:rRNA from 1 species
AUGGCCCUAGAAACCCAUCGCCAGAAGCAAGCGCGCCACAACCUCAUCGCCAACAUGGAUCCGGCCCUGAAAGCGUACCUCGACAAGAUGAGCGACGAGGCCGCCGCCCGCGCCAACCAGCAAGAGGACGACAACAAGGCCAUCCUCAAGGCCGUGGCGACGCAGACCGCAUGGAUUGACGCUCUUGUCUCAUGGAAGCCAAAGUUGGAGGCGCGGUUCGUGCAAUUGGAGAUCUCGGUUGCCGCGCUCCAAGCCGCCUCAGCGUCAUCGGCACCACCCACCAGCUGGCUGCCGACGACGACUUCUCCAGUUGUCGCGCGUGAGAUUCAAGGGCAACCAGGCCACGACGCGUCACUUCACCCAGGGGGAUCUUUGACGGUGACUUUAGAGUCACUGGCGGCUUCCCCGGUCAUGGGUAUGACCAUGAUCCCAUCGUCGAAUUCUUCCCCGUUGUCCUCACAAGUACUGGCGGCGAUGGGGUAA